rnacentral:rRNA from 1 species
AGUGUAGGCGGCUAUUUAAGUCGGAUGUGAAAGCCCCGGGCUCAACCUGGGAAUUGCAUUCGAAACUGAAUAGCUAGAGUUUGGUAGAGGUAAGUGGAAUUCCGGGUGUAGCGGUGAAAUGCGUAGAUAUCCGGAGGAACAUCAGUGGCGAAGGCGGCUUACUGGACCAAAACUGACGCUGAGGCUCGAAAGCGUGGGGAGCGAACAGGAUUAGAUACCCUGGUAGUCC